ACAAUUCUGGAGAAGCCGCUUGAGAAGAGAGCCACACUUGUUGUCAUUGGGCUGGAUGCUUACACAAGCCCAGAAGAGCAGUGCAGUCCUGUGAAAAUGCAGCAGAAUGCUGACAGUGGCCGGGAGGAUGACUCGGAGUCCUGGGUCAGCAUGGAGCUUGGCUUGACGUGCGCAGAUGUGAAUGAGGUGCAGGUAGCUCUACAGCUACAAACAUACACAACGGUUCGGUUCUUAGAGGACUGGCA